rnacentral:rRNA from 1 species
AGUUAACGUUGGCGGCGUGCCUAACACAUGCAAGUCGAACGCGUCCUAUGGGCAACCAUAGGUUGAGUGGCGAACGGGUGAGUAACACGUGGGUAAUCUUCCUUCAAGUGGGGAAUAAGCUCUCGAAAGGGAGUCUAAUACCGCAUGACGUUCCGGGACACAAGUCCCGUAAUUAAAGCCGCAAGGCGCUUGAAGAUGAGCCUGCGUCCUAUUAGCUAGUUGGUAGGGUAACGGCCUACCAAGGCUGAGAUGGGUAGCCGGCCUGAGAGGGUGAACGGCCACACUGGGACUGAGACACGGCCCAGACUCCUACGGGAGGCAGCAGUGAGGAAUUUUGCGCAAUGGGGGAAACCCUGACGCAGCGACGCCGCGUGGAGGACGAAGGCCUUCGGGUCGUAAACUCCUGUCAGAGGUGAAGAAUGCCCGCAAGGGCUUGACGGUAACCUCAGAGGAAGCCCGGCUAACUACGUG